UACGAAGGGGGCUAGCGUUGUUCGGAAUUACUGGGCGUAAAGCGCGCGCAGGCGGCCAUUCAAGUCAGGGGUGAAAGCCCAGAGCUCAACUCUGGAACUGCCCUUGAAACCGUAUGGCUUGAGUAUGAGAGAGGUGAGUGGAAUUCCCAGUGUAGAGGUGAAAUUCGUAGAUAUUGGGAAGAACACCGGUGGCGAAGGCGGCUCACUGGCUCAUUACUGACGCUCAGGCGCGACAGCGUGGGGAUCAAACAGG
rnacentral:rRNA from 1 species